AUGGCCGGCCCCGAGCAGCGCGUCGUCGCCGUCAUCAUGGUCGGCAGCCCCACCAAAGGGACGCGGUUCCGGCCGCUGUCGCUCAACGUGCCCAAGCCGCUCUUCCCGCUCGCCGGCCAGCCCAUGGUGCACCACCACAUCUCCGCGUGCCGCCGCAUCCCCAACCUGGCGCAGAUAUACCUCAUCGGCUUCUACGAGGAGCGGGAGUUCGCGCUCUACGUCUCCUCCAUCUCCAACGAGCUCAGGAUCCCUGUCAGGUAUCUGAGGGAGGAUAAGCCGCGCGGGUCGGCUGGAGGGCUCUACAGCUUCAGGGACUACAUCAUGGAGGACAGUCCGGCACACAUUGUUUUGCUGAACUGUGACGUCUGUUCUAGCUUCCCCUUGCCAGACAUGCUCGAGGCCCAUAAAAAGUAUGGAGGCAUGGGCACUUUGCUAGUCAAUAAGGUAUCUGCGGAGUCAGCCAACCAAUUUGGCGAGCUAGUAGCUGAUCCUGAAACAAAUGAACUGUUACACUAUACGGAAAAACCAGAGACUUUUGUGAGUGAUCUCAUAAAUUGCGGAGUCUAUAUAUUUACACCCAAGAUAUUAAUUGCUAUCGAGGAUGUCCUAAAACAGAAGAAAGACAGAGCUAAUUUGCGCCGUGUAUCCAGCUUUGAAGCUCUUCAAUCAGCAACGAAGGCAAUUCCGGCAGAUUAUGUUAGGUUAGAUCAAGAUAUCUUAUCUCCUCUAGCAGGAAAGAAGGAACUUUACACAUACCAGACACUUGAUUUUUGGGAACAGAUCAAGACCCCAGGGAUGUCUUUGAGAUGCUCUGGCCUAUAUCUCUCCCAGUUCCGCCAUACCUCUCCUCAUCUUUUAGCCUCUGGAGAUGGCAAAAAGGGUGCCACUAUUGUAGGUGACGUGUACAUCCAUCCAUCUGCGAAGGUGCAUCUAACUGCAAAGAUUGGUCCCAAUGUUUCGAUAUCAGCAAAUGCACGCAUUGGAGCAGGUGCCAGGCUUAUCAGUUGCAUCAUUCUGGAUGAUGUCGAAAUUAUGGAGAAUGCAGUUGUCAUACAUUCAAUAGUAGGGUGGAAGUCAACAGUAGGGAAAUGGUCACGUGUACAGGGUGAAGGGGACCACAAUGCCAAACUUGGUAUCACCAUUCUUGGUGAAGCCGUUGAUGUUGAAGAUGAAGUAGUUGUAACUAACAGUAUCGUGCUCCCAAAUAAAACUCUCAAUGCCAGUGUGCAAGAUGAGAUCAUCCUAUAA
rnacentral:rRNA from 1 species